rnacentral:rRNA from 1 species
UACGUAGGGUGCGAGCGUUAAUCGGAAUUACUGGGCGUAAAGCGUGCGCAGGCGGUCUGUUAAGACCGGUGUGAAAUCCCCGGGCUUAACCUGGGAACUGCAUUGGUGACUGGCAGGCUUUGAGUGUGGCAGAGGGAGGUAGAAUUCCACGUGUAGCAGUGAAAUGCGUAGAGAUGUGGAGGAAUACCGAUGGCGAAGGCAGCCUCCUGGGCCAACACUGACGCUCAUGCACGAAAGCGUGGGGAGCAAACAGG